ACGGAAGGCAGCAGUGAGGAAUAUUGGUCAAUGGGCGGAAGCCUGAACCAGCCAAGUCGCGUGAAGGAUGAAGGUAUUAUGUAUUGUAAACUUCUUUAGCUGUGGAGCAAUAAUCGCCAUGCAUGGCGAGAUGAGAGUACACAGAGAAUAAGGAUCGGCUAACUCCGUGCCAGCAGCCGCGGUAAUACGGAGGAUCCGAGUGUUAUCCGGAUUUAUUGGGUUUAAAGGGUGCGUAGGCGGAGGAUCAAGUCAGUGGUGAAAUGGUGCGGCUCAACCGUAGCAUUGCCGUUGAAACUGGUUUUCUAGAGUGCGAAUGAGGUGGGCGGAAUGUGUCAUGUAGCGGUGAAAUGCAUAGAUAUGACACAGAACACCGAUUGCGAAGGCAGCUCACUGGGACGCAACUGACGCUGAGGCACGAAAGUGCGGGGAUCGAACAGGAUUAGAUACCCUGGUA
rnacentral:rRNA from 1 species